rnacentral:rRNA from 1 species
AGUUGAUCCUGGCUCAGAAUGAACGCUGGUGGCGUGCUUUAUACAUGCAAGUCGAGCGGAAAUUAGUUUGCAGUGGAGGAUGAUUAAUUUGCACUUUGUGCAAAUUAUGAGUUUUCUACUACGACUAGUUUUAGCGGCGAACGGGUGAGUAACGCGUGAAUAAUCUGCCCUUGAGACUGGAAUAAUAUCCUGAAAAGGAUGCUAAUGCCGGAUAAAGUUAUGAGGUGCAAAUCUCAUAACCAAAGUUGGACUUUUUAGCCCUUCGCUCAAGGAUGAGUUCGCGUCCUAUUAGCUAGUUGGUGAGGUAAAGGCUUACCAAGGCAAUGAUGGGUAGCCGGCCUGAGAGGGCGUACGGCCACACUGGGACUGAGACACGGCCCAGACUCCUACGGGAGGCAGCAGUAGGGAAUUUUCCGCAAUGGGCGAAAGCCUGACGGAGCGACGCCACGUGGAUGACGAAGGCCUUCGGGUCGUAAAAUCCUGUCAGGGGGGACGAUGAUUGAUCUUCGGAUUGAUUGACGGUACCUCCAGAGGAAGCUCCGGCCAACUACGUGCCAGCAGCCGCGGUAAUACGUAGGGAGCAAGCGUUGUUCGGAUUUACUGGGCGUAAAGAGUGCGUAGGUGGCUAUAUAAGUCAGUGGUGAAAUCUCUAUUUUCAAGGUAGAAACUGCCAUUGAUACUGUAUGGCUAGAGGGCAAGAGAGGGAAAUGGAACUCUGGGAGUAGCGGUGAAAUGCGUAGAUAUCCAGAGGAACGCCAGUAGCGAAGGCGAUUUCCUGGCUUGCUUCUGACACUGAGGCACGAAAGCUAGGGGAGCGAUCGGGCUUAGAUAUCCCGGUAGUCCUAGCCGUAAACGAUGGGUACUAAGUGUGGGAGGAGAAUUACCUUCCGUGCUGAAGCUAACGCGUUAAGUACCCCGCCUGGGGAGUACGGUCGCAAGACUGAAACUCAAAAGAAUUGACGGGGGGCUGAACAAGCAGUGGAGCACGUGGUUUAAUUCGACGCAAAGCGAAGAACCUUACCAGGGUUUGACAUGCUAGUAGUAGCGACUCGAAAGAGAAGUGAUCUAAGCU